rnacentral:rRNA from 1 species
GAUGAACGCUGGCGGCGUGCCUAAUACAUGCAAGUCGAGCGAACAGAUAAGGAGCUUGCUCCUUUGACGUUAGCGGCGGACGGGUGAGUAACACGUGGGUAACCUACCUAUAAGACUGGAAUAACUCCGGGAAACCGGGGCUAAUGCCGGAUAACAUUUAGAACCGCAUGGUUCUAAAGUGAAAGAUGGUUUUGCUAUCACUUAUAGAUGGACCCGCGCCGUAUUAGCUAGUUGGUAAGGUAACGGCUUACCAAGGCAACGAUACGUAGCCGACCUGAGAGGGUGAUCGGCCACACUGGAACUGAGACACGGUCCAGACUCCUACGGGAGGCAGCAGUAGGGAAUCUUCCGCAAAGGGCGAAAGCCUGACGGAGCAACGCCGCGUGAGUGAUGAAGGUCUUCGGGUCGUAAAGCUCUGUUAUUAGGGAAGAACAAAUGUGUAAGUAACUGUGCACGUCUUGACGGUACCUAAUCAGAAAGCCACGGCUAACUACGUG